rnacentral:rRNA from 1 species
UAUGCCUCUCCUAAAGACUAAGCCAUGCAUGCCUUCGAAUACGAGGAAGCAAUUCUCUCUGAAUCUGCGAACGGCUCCGCAAACCAGUUGUAAACCAAAGCAAGCAUAUCCGUGGUCCGUCCUUCACGGGGUGGGCUGCGGAUGAUACGGAUAACCCUGGUAAUUCUGAGGCUAAUACGAGACUGUAAUCCCUGGCUGACCGGGCAACUGGGACGCUGGGGGGUGUGUAUCUAUAUGCAAGACGAUUCCAGGAAGGGGUGCACGCUCUGACCGCGAUAAAAGCAGUUCCGUCGAUCCCUUGGGAGAAGCGGUUCUGAGCGGCUCUUGCGCUGUGCUUCUGACCUAUCAACUAGAUGGCAGCGUAACGGACAUGCCAUGGUUACAACGGGUACAGAGGAUUAGGGUUCGAUCCUGGAGAGUGGGCCUGAGAGAUUGCUCAUACUUCUAAGGAAGGCAGCAGGCGCGCAACGUUCCCCUUGGGCAAUGCCCGAGGGCGUUAGGGGACAUAUGAAUGGUUGCCUUUUAGGUGGCCAAUUCAAAUGGGUCUGUUCUAAACAGCCUCUCGAGUAACAAUUAGAGGA